GACGAACGCUGGCGGCGUGCUUAACACAUGCAAGUCGAACGGAAAGGCCCGGCUUUUGUUGGUUUCUCGAUUGGCGAAGGGGGGAGUGACACGUGAGGAACCUGCCCUUGACUUUGGGGUAACUUCAGGGAACUGGGGCGAAUACCGGAGAGGAGCUACUGCUGCAUGGUGGGGGUUGGAAAGUUUCGGCGGUUGGGUAUGGACUCGCGGCUUAUCAGCUGGUUGGGGAGGUAGUGGCUUACCAAGGCUUUGACGGGUAGCCGGCCUGAGAGGGUGAACGGCCACCUUGGGACUGAGAUACGGCCCAGACUCCUACGGGACGCAGUAGUGGGGAAUAUUGCACAAUGGGCGGAAGCCUGAUGCAGAAACGCCGCGUGCGGGAUGCCGGCUUUCGGGUUGUAAACCGAUUUCGACUGUGCCGAAGAGUGAGUGACGGUACCGGGUCAAGAAGCAACGGCUAACUACGUG
rnacentral:rRNA from 1 species